rnacentral:rRNA from 1 species
GGUAGUCCACGCCGUAAACGAUGGCCACUCGGCCUUUGGGGGCGGAAUCUCCGUCGCUGGGGGCCUUAGCUAACGCGGGAAGUGGCCCGCCUGGGAACUACGAGCGCAAGCUUAAAACUCAAAGGAAUUGACGGGGCCCGCACAAGCAGCGGAGCGUGUGGUUUAAUUCGACGCAACGCGCAGAACCUUACCCAGGUUUGACAUGGUCCUGCAAGCUCCUGAAAGGGAGCCGCCUUCGAGGGUGGGCCACAGAUGCUGCAUGGCUGUCGUCAGCUCGUGCCGUGAGGUGUUGGGUUAAG